GACGUAGGGGGCGAGCGUUGUCCGGAUUUAUUGGGCGUAAAGAGCUCGUAGGCGGCUUGUUACGUCGACUGUGAAAACCCGUGGCUCAACCAUGUGGUCUGCAGUCGAUACGGGCAGGCUAGAAUUCGGUAGGGGAGACUGGAAUUCCUGGUGUAGCGGUGAAAUGCGCAGAUAUCAGGAGGAACACCGGUGGCGAAGGCGGGUCUCUGGGCCGAUAUUGACGCUGAGGAGCGAAAGCGUGGGGAGCGAACAGG
rnacentral:rRNA from 1 species